CAGGUGCAUUUGUCCGUUGAUUAUUGUUUUAUUAUUUAGUAUUAAAAAACUCAAGCGCAAUCGAUUUAGUAUACUGUAAAAAAUUCUUAAGUGAAUGCGGAUUAUUUUCGAAGUUAAUGCAAAGCGGGUGACUGUUUAUUUAAGCUCUUUAUUUACCCCCUAUGCAGAAUGAUUUUUUUUUACUCCGGAAUUUCAAAUGACCGAGUCGAUUCGGAUUCAAAUAAAAUUCAUAAUUACUCCGAAAUUACUCCUGUUUUUUUAAGAUUCUGAAUGUUCUCAGAAAAAAAAAUUCUUAUCGUUAAAAAUAUUUGCAUUAUGAAGUGAAACCAAAAAUUUCCUUACUCUCUAAAAGAAAAUUAGUGAAUACUAAUUUAUUCUUGGUCAAUUUCACUCAUUUGUUUUCAAAAUAUAGAGUUAUCGUUUAAAUUAUUCGCUCAAGUACGACAGUGAGAUAACGAAGCUCGAGGACUGAAAAAAAAUAUAACAAUAAUAAUAAAAAUAAUAACAACAAUAGCAGUUGAAACGUCACCAGGGAUUUGUUAUAAAUACAAGCCAGCCCUGACGUGUAAUUUCAGAAGACCGGUAACCAGCUUACGGUACGUUAAUUAAAAGCUAUUGAAUAAGUGUCUUCAUCAUGUUAGUUCGAAAGAAAUAUUUGCUCGCAUUUUUCAUAGUAACAAUUUUCGUUGCUGCCAUAGUCGAUGCCGAGAUGGCCGGAGACGCACCUCCAGAUUUAGUGAUGAAGAAGACUACGACCAACGGUAUUGUCGGUUCUCUUGUAUCAUACUUAUGGCCAUUUACAUCUGUUUUGAUACAAUUGUUAAACAGCAUAUUGAUCCAUACUAAAAAUGAACAAUUACCCUGUACUAUGUAUAAUUUAUCUAAGUUACAAUAUUCAUGUACGCCCUACCAAGCUACAGUUGUUGAUGACAGCGUUCCCUCUCCAAUGGCUGAUUCUUCAUAAUAAUUAUUUUUCAUAUUAUUAUUAUUAUUAUUAUUAUUAUUGUUAAUUAAUUAUCAUUAUUUUUAUAAUUACAAAACACAUCAAUGAUUUUUAUAGUUUAUUUAAUGUAUGUUAUUGUUAAGAAUGGAUAAUCACUUAAUAAAAUUAUUAUUAUUA